rnacentral:rRNA from 1 species
GAUACAUGCAAGUCGAACGCUUUGAUUCUACCGGGUGCUUGCACCCACCAGAAUCAAAGAGUGGCGGACGGGUGAGUAACACGUGGGUAACCUGCCCAUAAGUGGGGGAUAACAUUCGGAAACGGAUGCUAAUACCGCAUAACUCCAACCACCUCCUGGUGGAUGGAUAAAAGACGGUUUCGGCUGUCGCUUAUGGAUGGACCCGCGGCGUAUUAGCUAGUUGGUGAGGUAAUGGCUCACCAAGGCAAUGAUACGUAGCCGACCUGAGAGGGUGAUCGGCCACACUGGGACUGAGACACGGCCCAGACUCCUACGGGAGGCAGCAGUAGGGAAUCUUCCGCAAUGGACGAAAGUCUGACGGAGCAAUGCCGCGUGAGUGAAGAAGGUUUUCGGAUCGUAAAACUCUGUUGUUAGAGAAGAACAAGGAUGAGCGUAACUACUCAUCCCCUGACGGUAUCUAACCAGAAAGCCAUGGCUAACUACGUGCCAGCAGCCGCGGUAAUACGUAGAUGGCAAGCGUUGUCCGGA